rnacentral:snRNA from 1 species
GUGCUCACUUCGGCAGCACAUAUACUAACAUUGGAACGAUACAGAGAAGAUUAGCAUGGCCCCUGCACAAGGAUGAUAUGCAAAUUCGUGAAGCGUUCCAUAUUAAA